rnacentral:rRNA from 1 species
UACAGAGGGGGCAAGCGUUAUUCGGAAUUAUUGGGCGUAAAGCGCACGUAGGCGGAUUGCUAAGUCAGGGGUGAAAUCCUGGAGCUCAACUCCAGAACUGCCUUUGAUACUGGCAAUCUCGAGUCCGGGAGAGGUGAGUGGAACUGCGAGUGUAGAGGUGAAAUUCGUAGAUAUUCGCAAGAACACCAGUGGCGAAGGCGGCUCACUGGCCCGGUACUGACGCUGAGGUGCGAAAGCGUGGGGAGCAAACAGG